UUUUAUGAGUGGUAUGUUGCACGUUGUCCAGAUGUGGCUGUUGUUGCUUUGAAGAAUGCUCCUAAGAAUUUAAAGUUGGUUUCUUCUACUAUCCAGAAAGAUAUUGUGGAAGCUUGUGCUAUAGAAACAGUAAAGGCAAUCAUAGAUGAUCUUGGAGAUGAAUACUUUGCUAUACUAGUUGAUGAAUCUCGUGAUGUAUCGCACAAGGAACAAAUGGCUCUUGCUAUAAGAUAUGUUGAUAAAAGGGGGUUUUCAGUGGAGCGUGUUAUUGGACUUUCUCAUGUUACUCAAACAACUUCUCUUGCUCUUCAGGAAGCUAUUUAUGCAGUGCUUAAACAUCAUAACCUUAGCCCUUCUCGGAUUCGUGGCCAAGGAUAUGAUGGAGCUAGUAAUAUGCAAGGACACUUGAAUGGUUUGAAAACAUUAGUAAUGGAAGAUUCCAGGUCAGCUCACAGCAUCCACUGUUUUGCUCAUGAACUUCAGUUGACACUAGUUGCAGUUGCAAAAAACCAUGAAGAUGUGGUAUGGCUUUUUGAGUGGAUGAGUGUUGUUCUGUCCACGGUGGGAAAUUCUUUUAAGAACAGGGAUAUGCUUAGAGAAAAGCAAGCAAAAAGAGUUCAUAAUGCACUACAAAAUGGUGAACUUGAAACUGGGAGAGGUUUGAAUCAAGAACUUGGACUUAAAAGAGCCGGUGAUACUCGCUGGGGUUCUCAUUUCAAUCCUCUACUGAAUAUGAUUGUUAUGUUCCCCUCCGUAAUUGAAGUUGUUGAUGAUAAUGCACAAAAUGCCAGCAAAGCUCUAGAUAGGCUUAAAGCAAAAGGAGUUCUUGAUGCUAUUCAAACAUUUGACUUUGUUUUCAUGAUGCACUUGAUGAAGGUUAUACUCGGGAUUACUAAUGAUUUGAAUCUGGCUUUGCAAAGGAAGGAUCAAGAUAUUGUGAAUGUUGUGUCAUAUCUUUGUACAACGAAAAGA
rnacentral:rRNA from 1 species